GGGAACUCCUUUAGGUCAGGGAUCAUGGUCUUAGCUCCGAGUCGCAAUGCUCUGUGCAGUGACUGGUACAUGACAGGUGCCAAAUUCAUGUACGCUGAGUUGAACUAUAGACCUUUCUACAGCGUCUCUGCUUCCAAGUAUAGGCUUCAGCUGGGCAGAGGGGCUGUGGGUCCUACUUGGGUGUCAUUCUUCAGUGCACCGAGGAUUCCUGACCGCAGCGUCUGGCUAAGGGGCUGAGACAGGAGCAGGACAGUGAAGGUGGCUGCGAAAGCAGGGGAUUUCUGCUCCAAGCGCUCCCCGUCCUCCAUCGAAUGAUGUAGGUUUCACACAGAUCCUUUCUACUCUGCUCUCAAGGGAUGCGAAAGAUUCGGAUGUCAGCUUUCCUCCCGAAGGGUUUCAGAAUCAGACUGAUUGCUCUGUCUCGGCCAGUACCUUCCAGAUUCUCUCAGAGGGACCUCCUGAUGGUGUUCAGAUGGAAGGUGUCAGUGUUUCACAGCAAACGCAAUAACGAGGCCCCAUGCUUCCCAAGAACCAUUAAAUUCAACUGGAUUUCAGCAACUGGUGAGGUUACCUCAGCAAAGGCCUGUUUACAUGCGGCUUGAAACGGGUUCCCCUCUGAGCAGUUCAGCACAUUGUCAAACCAGUCUUGACUUGAAAGACAUAUGGCAUCAGCAUGGAAGAUGUCAUCUACGUAUUUGUGUGCGUGCGUGUACUUACUCAUCAUUGUUGGCUGAAUUAGAGGAAAGUAGACAAGCUGAUUCUUCAUGCUAUAAGGAGCUGGUGCAGAGGAUGAGACGACAAGGUCAUAGGAAGGUCGGAAAGAACAAACAGCGGAAGACCUCAGAAGCGUGAGGAGCAGAGACAACAAGCAGCAGCGGCACAGGAACUUUCUGGAGAAACACAAUGCUGAACUUAACAAGAUUUGAGGGUGGCCAUUUAAGGUACGAAGCCAGGUUAGUCAUAUUAAUUAGGGGCAAGUUUUAUCUCGGACUCCAAAUCUCAUUCUGUGGGUGGAGGCCUCAUCUACUUAUGCCUGAGACUUGCUCUGCCUUUAUUCUUAAUACAUGGGGAUCAAGAUCGAAGAGUUGGAUUUUUAUGGAAAAUACUCCUCUUGGACAUUUUCUGUUAGCCUUUCCUGUAUACAAAGCACCCCCAAACUUAGUGACUUAAGAUGGUAAUGAGAUAUUAUUUUUAAGCUUCUGUGGUUGGCAAAGCAGUUCUUCUGUUGGUUUUGUAUGAGGUCAUUCACGUAGGGGGUCAGCUGGGCCAGAGGUCCAAGAUGGCGGGUGAUACUGGCUCUUGUCCUGAAUACCCGGUUUCUCCUCCAUGUGCUCUCCCGUCCUCCAGGAGGCUAGACCAGCUUCCUGACAUGGCAGCCGCAAGGUCGCAUUCCAAAAUGGCCAGGGCAGAAGCUACCAUGUUUCUUGAUUCCAAGGCUCCAGAUUUCACACAACAGGAAUUCCACAACAUGCUAUUGAUCAAGUCAACUCACAUGCCAGCUGAUAGUGGAAAGAUGGGGAAACCAGAUGCCACUUUCAACGGGAGGAGCUGCGAAGACUUUGUAGCCCUAUGAAAUCGACCAGACAGCUGUGUCACAUCCCCAGUGACCCAGACCCGAGGGACUGAGGCUACCACCCCACGCUAUGCAGAAGUCCUCUACUUAUUCUCCUCUCAAAGGGACAGAGGAAGGAUAUGCUACCUUCAAAGACUUCUCUCUGCCCAGAGGUUAAGAACAGGGUUCUGAUGCCCAAGGCCUGACCUGAAUCCUGACUUUGCCACACUCAGCCAGUGCAAUACCCAGAUUAUAAAUUAUGACCUUCAUAGGCGAAUUACCCAGUGCAGCCAAUAUUGCUCGAGAGAGUGGUUGUGAGAGAAACCUAAUUCUGUUAAAGAUUCAGUUACAAAGGAGAACGUCAAAGCCGAUGAGAAUUUCUGCCCGUGGAGUUUCUCUGAAGAAGGUGACUGGUUUCAAGAGCCGGGCGGUGUUUUCAAAUGACAGUUCAGCCCCUUUGAGAGUGACAUCAUGGCAAGAGUGAUGGUAUUAACUCCAGUGUUGGUACCAGAGGAUGGCAGGGACUCAGAUGCCUGGAAAGAAUGGCCUGCGUACCAGCUGGGGUUGCCACCCUGGAACCACGACGCUUAGCCCUUCUUCUGUUACGAGACUGUGGAGACUGUUGGAGUCUCAAGGCUACGAGGGGCGUGGUUUUAGCCUCAUUUUAAAUGGUCGUGGGAACAGGAUUGAGAGGGUCUCCAGAAUUUACCCAUCUGCUACGUGCACGUUUGUAUCAUUAAACAACAUCUCCUCAGUUGCCCGAGCCCCAGCUCCUGGCCACCACUGUUUUACGGUCUGUGUCUAUGAAGUCAGUUCGUUCAGACUCCAAGCUGAAAUAGGAAUAAUAAUAAUACAACAAUACAACAAUAUGGAAUAUUCCUACUUGUUCACUCUCUCGGUAAGAUCCUGUUUUUCUUUUCCUCUUCUCUGGAUGCUGGUUGUCAGCUGUUGUGUUCCCUGUGGGGUCCAGGAUGUGGGGUAAGUGGCCCUCCCAUGACCCAUUCUGGGAAGAGCAUCAGCGAGAGAGAGUUGGGAAGUUCCACACCACCCAGGUGAUCUCCUCCUCGCAGCUGUCCAGCCUGGUGUACUAAAUCAUUUGGUUUCCUCUCCUGUCUCGAGGUGCCCAUCCAGGCCCUUCCAGUAUGACAAAGCCUGAGGCACAGGGUAGUGAGAAGAGAGAAGGGCCUGAGAAGUGAAAAAAAAAAAAAAGGCUAUAUAAAAGGCCCAUAAGAAACUGUAUGAGUUUGUUGAUUACCCCAGACGUAUUUUCAAAAGCUUAAUGUUCUACGUUACAAAUUACCUUUUGAAGUUACCUACUUCAUCAACAUCACAUCAUUGUUGCCAUUACCAUUAUAAGCGUUCCCAUUAACAACAACAAAAGCAAAGAGUAAGACUAGGCAAUUGUGCUCUUUAAGAGGAAUAUAAACUCCUGCUGCUCUCCCUGUGUUCUGCUCCUUCUUGUUGACCCUGUGGUGAGAGCCUUGAAUGUAUGACUCACUCUCUCCUCUGGAUGAUGUUCCUCCCAGAUUAGCAGAAAGUCCCCUCUUCUUAUAUAUUUUAUUUUCUCUUCAGGUUCCUGGCAUGCCUGUUCUUCUUCCCAAGAAGGUUCUCUGGCACAUUCAAGGUGGAAUGAUUUCAAGUCAACUUAGUUGUCCCCAUUUUCAUUUUAGUAGACAUCCACUCCAGGUGCUGCAUGUGACACUGAGUGGAAGAGUGACGUUCAGAUGGUAGUAAGGGGAUCGUCUGGCCGUUGGAUUGUUCUG